UACGUAGGGCGCAAGCGUUGUCCGGAAUUAUUGGGCGUAAAGAGCUCGUAGGCGGCUUGUCACGUCGGGUGUGAAAGCCCGGGGCUUAACCCCGGGUCUGCAUUCGAUACGGGCAGGCUAGAGUGUGGUAGGGGAGAUCGGAAUUCCUGGUGUAGCGGUGAAAUGCGCAGAUAUCAGGAGGAACACCGGUGGCGAAGGCGGAUCUCUGGGCCAUUACUGACGUUGAGGAGCGAAAGCGUGGGGAGCGAACAGG
rnacentral:rRNA from 1 species